AUUAUCCGGCAUGCUUAGUACGGCGAGUGAAGCGGCAAAAGCUCAAAUUUGAAAUCUGGCACCUUCGGUGUCCGAGUUGUAAUUUGAAGAAGGUAACUUUGGAGUUGGCUCUUGUCUAUGUUCCUUGGAACAGGACGUCACAGAGGGUGAGAAUCCCGUGCGAUGAGAUGCCCAAUUCUAUGUAAAGUGCUUUCGAAGAGUCGAGUUGUUUGGGAAUGCAGCUCUAAGUGGGUGGUAAAUUCCAUCUAAAGCUAAAUAUUGGCGAGAGACCGAUAGCGAACAAGUACAGUGAUGGAAAGAUGAAAAGAACUUUGAAAAGAGAGUGAAAAAGUACGUGAAAUUGUUGAAAGGGAAGGGCUUGAGAUCAGACUUGGUAUUUUGCGAUCCUUUCCUUCUUGGUUGGGUUCCUCGCAGCUUACUGGGCCAGCAUCGGUUUGGAUGGUAGGAUAAUGACUAAGGAAUGUGGCUCUACUUCGGUGGAGUGUUAUAGCCUUGGUUGAUACUGCCUGUCUAGACCGAGGACUGCGUCUUUUGACUAGGAUGUUGGCAUAAUGAUCUUAAGCCACCCGUCUUGAAACCGGGACCAAAAAAAUCAAUUAAAAAGGAACC
rnacentral:rRNA from 1 species